AGAGAGGAGAGAAAACUGAGAGAGGAGAGAAGACUGAGAGAGGAGAGAAGACUGAGAGAGGAGAGAAAACAGAGAGAGGAGAGAAGACUGAGAGAGGAGAGAAAACAGAGAGAGGAGAGAAGACUGAGAGAGGAGAGAAGACUGAGAGAGGAGAGAAAACAGAGAGAGGAGAGAAGACUGAGAGAGGAGAGAAAACUGAGAGAGGAGAGAAGACUGAGAGAGGAGAGAAAACUGAGAGAGGAGAGAAGACUGAGAGAGGAGAGAAAGGGUGAGAGAGGAGAGAAAACAGAGAGAGGAGAGAAAGGGUGAGAAAACAGAGAGGAGAGAAAACAGAGAGAGGAGAGAAGACUGAGAGAGGAGAGAAGACUGAGAGAGGAGAGAAGACUGAGAGAGGAGAGAAGACUGAGAGAGGAGAGAAAGGGUGAGAGAGGAGAGAAAACAGAGAGAGGAGAGAAAGGGUGAGAAAACAGAGAGGAGAGAAAACAGAGAGAGGAGAGAAGACUGAGAGAGGAGAGAAGACUGAGAGAGGAGAGAAGACUGAGAGAGGAGAGAAAGGGUCUGAGAGCUCUGGGACAAACUGGCUGCAAGCUCUGAAAUUCAAGAAAAAAAACCCAAAAUGAGAGAGAGAGAGAGAGAGAGAGAGAGAGAGAGAGAGAGAGAGAGAGAGAGAGAGAGAGAGAGAGAGAGAGAGAGAGAGAGAGAGAGAGAGAGAGAGAGAGAGAGAGAGAGAGAGAGAGAGAGAGAGAGAGAGAGACUCCCUGUGACCCCCCCCUCCAAUCCAAGUGGAAGAGACUCCCUGUGACAAAGACAUCCUGUCACAAAACUAGAGAGGGGAGGGAGGCGGGACGUUAUACAGGGCUGGGAAUGAGACUCCCGCUGCACAGCAGUGUGAUCCAGUCCUGGUUUCACUAGGAGUUUAAUAAUAAGACACACCUGAGCUUGUUAGCUAGACACACUGGGGCUGAUCAAGCUGGUAGUAAAACCUGGACUGGGUGACGCUGCUGUGCAAUAGGAGUCUGAUCCCAUUGUGUAUAUGAGUGUUUGUUGUAGGGAAAUAUUCUAGUAAUAAUAAUAAUAAUAAUAUAUAUAUAUGUGACGUUGUUACUAUUCUGAUUAUUAAAAUUACCACACCCAUGUUAAUCACUGUUUCUGUAAUUGCUAAAGACAGCUCUGAUUGUGAAUAAAACUAUUUUGGAAAAAUUGAA